GCCUGGUGUAACAAAAACAUAGCGAAAGAAAUUUUGGUGUAGCUGCUCAGUGAAUAAUGUUUAACGGCUAAUUUGUAGCGUAAUAAUUUGAGUUUUAAUUUUWCUCUGGAGGAAGGAGGAUGCUUAGUUAAUUUAUGUUUAUUUAAUAUAGAAGAAUUURAUUUUUGAGUGAAAAAGCUUAAAUAURUUUUAAAGACGAUAAGACCCCGAGACUUUAAUUGAUUUUGUUGGGGUAACAAGUUUACAAAAAUGAAAUUUUGUUUAAAAAAUUAAUGAACCAGGGUUUCUGUUUUAAGAUAUAAGUACCUCGGGGAUAACAGCAUUAUUUUUACUUAAAGCUCUUAUUAGCGUUAGAAAAAUGACCUCGAUGUUGAAUUAAGGUAGCUAAAAAUCGAAGAAGAUUUUUUAGUUUGGUCUGUUCGCCCAGAUAACCUUACGUGAUCUGAGUUCAGACCGG
rnacentral:rRNA from 1 species